rnacentral:rRNA from 1 species
AUUGAACGCUGGCGGCAUGCCUUACACAUGCAAGUCGAGCGGAGCGGCGGACGGGUGAGUAAUGCCUAGGAAUCUGCCCGGUAGUGGGGGAUAACGUCCGGAAAGGGGCGCUAAUACCGCAUACUAUCAGAUGAGCCUAGGUCGGAUUAGCUAGUUGGUGGGGUAACGGCCUACCAAGGCGACGAUCCGUAGCUGGUUUGAGAGGAGGACCAGGCACACUGGGACUGAGACACGGUCCAGACUCCUACGGGAGGCAGCAGUGGGGAAUAUUGGACAAUGGGCGAAAGCCUGAUCCAGCCAUGCCGCGUGUGUGAAGAAGGUCUUCGGGUUGUAAAGCACUUUAAGUAGGGAAGCGGUACCAACAGAAUAAGCACCGGCUAACUACGUGCCAGCCGCCGCGGUAAUAC